rnacentral:rRNA from 1 species
AUUUUUCGGAAUGAAGUUUUUUAUGACUGAGUGGCGGACGGGUGAGUAACGCGUGAGCAAUCUACCAUGGACAAAGGGAUAGCCUCGGGAAACUGGGAUUAAUACCUUAUGAUUCUUCUUUUAGGCAUCUUUAAGAAGACAAAGAAUUUCGGUCCAUGAUGAGCUCGCGUCUGAUUAGCUAGUUGGUGAGAUAAAAGCUCACCAAGGCGAUGAUCAGUAACCGGCCUGAGAGGGUGAACGGUCACACUGGAACUGAGACACGGUCCAGACUCC